UAAAACGGAGGGUGCAAGCGUUGUUCGGAAUUACUGGGCGUAAAGCGCGUGCAGGUGGUCUUUUAAGUUUCGUGUGAAAUCCCUUGGCUUAACCGAGGAACGGCACGGAAAACUGAAAGACUUGAGGAUGGGAGAAGAGGGCGGAAUUCCCAGUGUAGAGGUGAAAUUCGUAGAUAUUGGGAGGAACACCGGUGGCGAAAGCGGCUCUCUAGACCAUUUCUGACACUCAUACGCGAGAGCGCGGGGAGCAAACAGGAUUAGAUACCCUGGUAGUCCGCGCUGUAAACGAUGGAUGCUAGGUGUUGCGGGAGUUGACCCCCGCAGUGCCGAAGCCAACGCAUUAAGCAUCCCGCCUGGGAAGUACGGUCGCAAGACUA
rnacentral:rRNA from 1 species